AGGCCCUGUGAGCUCCCUGUUGCUGCCUCCUCUGAUGCCACUCUGACCGAGCUCGUGGCUGCCGGUCCUUCAAGACACAACAGCUUAAAGUCUUGGAGUGCUUCGUGUCCAAAUGCAAAGCGGAAGGGGCACUGUCUGGAGGAACCUUAUUGGGGGAGGAGGAUGUGGAAGUGUUUCCAAGCAGAGUGUCGGAAGUUGUCCUUGACGACAGAAUUCACGUUAGUGAUAUAUCGAAAUAUUUCACAGCUGACGGUUGGGAUGCAGUCUGUAAUGUUGUCGACACCAAAAGGUCAAAUAUAAUAUGGAAGUGUAAUGUACGUAGGGAUGUUUUAGAUGAGGAGUGUGUCUCGUGUGAUGGUUGCUUGCUGUGGUACAACGUCGCUUGUGUGCGUAUACCCAAACGAAGUCUAGGAAGUUCGGCACCAUGGGUUUGUCAGAAGUGCCACAGGAAAUGAAAAUAUCCAGUAGCAUAUAGAAUGCUUGAUCCAUUGUAUAUAUGUAUAUAGCUGCAUUGUGUAUAUAUGUAUAUAGCUGCAUUGUGUAUACAGUCAACCCUCGAUUUAUGAACACACUCGGUUCCCCGAAAAAUCGUUCAUAAAUCGAGGGAUUCAUAAAUCGAAAAUUCAGUUAACUGAGUACUAUCGAGCAAAUGCAACAGGAUUUCCGAAUAGGGAUUGUGUUUAUAAUGCCAUAUAUUGUGUAAUUUUGCUUUUGACCAUGCCUUCUGCUGUAUCAAUCUCACAAAGAACAGACGUUAGCGCAUACACACUCUGUUUACUAUGCAAUGCUAAAUUGUUUAAUUUUGCUUUGGACCAUGCCUUCCGCUUUGUCAAUCUUGGAAAUAAGAGAUGUCACCACAUUCGCACUGGACUGGUCUCGGAUUUCCUCCGGGAUUUUUAACCUCCGUUUAUUAAUCUUCGGGUGACAGUGACCACCCUAUUCAUCAACUGAGGUCAGGAACACCCGUUUGUUGUUCGGAUUUCGAGGGGUUAAGAACCGAGGGUGCAAUACCUGGAAAACGUUUUGUCCGUUCAGGCGUCAUUCAUAAGACCACGGAAUUAUCCCUUUGAAGGUUUCUGUUGACCUCGGAACGAUCCGUUCAUAAAUUGAGGGCAAAAACGCCGGGCAACUCCUAGUUGGUUCCCAGAAAUUCCGUUCAUUAUUCGAAUAUCGAGGUUCAUAAAACGAGGGAAAAAUGAAUGUAAAAAGUUUGGUUCCCAGUGCUCGUGUUCAUAAAACGAGGGAAUUCAUAAAUCAAAGGUUCACAAAUUGAAGGUUGACUGUAUAUGUAUAUAGCUGCAUUGUGUAUAUAUGUAUAUAGCUUCAUUGUGUAUAUAUGUAUAUAGCUGCAUUGUGUAUAUAUGUAUAUAGCUGCAUUGUGUAUAUAUGUAUAUAACUGCA